rnacentral:lncRNA from 1 species
AUCCUAAAGCUCUUUUCUUCAUCCUUCUGAUUUUGGUGUUGGUGAUUGUCAGAGCAAUAAUAGCCUUUGUCUUUAGCAGGAAGUGAAACUGGGGUCUGAUUAGAUAUGCAUAAACUAUCUGCCCCCUCUUUAAAGACACAGAUGAAACUUGCUUUCAAACUGUGUAAAACCUAUGCUGGCUGGCUCUUGCUUUGAGGGAGUGCUCUCACUCUGGGAUCUUGGAAUGAAUGACUCAUGCUCUCUGCAGGCACACAGUGCUUAAUCACUUGUUUUUUGUGUACCAGGAAGAGAAGGGCAUUUGAAAAUAGAAGCUGUGUACCACUGCCAGAUGGACUUGAAGUUAGUGGAAUUGUUGACGUAGUGGUCAAACAAUUGAGCUUAUUUCAAUUACAGACUUUGGUUGUAUGUUUCUUUAUUUCACGAAUUAGAAGUUAGAAUUUGGCAUUAUUUGUAGAGUGCUAGCUAUACUUGUGUAGUUUGUAAUAGUUAUGUAACUUUGACAACAUUAAACUUUAAAAUGUUUCUCUUUGAAUGUGCUUGCCAGUUAGUAUACUAGUUGAAGGACAGGUUAAAACCUGCUGGAGCAGUUCACUUACAUGGCUGUUCUCCGUGGAGGAAUAGCAUAAGGCAGGACCACUUUCUCUGCCAUUAGGAUCCUUUCUGCCUCCAGAAUAGCCAUUUAAAAAUAUUGACAGUGUCAAGUCCUUAGGUGUUGCAUAUGCCCAGACAAAUAACAUCUCUAUACAUUCUCUAUACAUUAGGCUUGCUAGUGCUAACUUGUUUUCUUGGUAAAGAAUAAGAGUAUAAUGUAUUUCAAGUUUACCUAAAAUGUGUGCGUGUAUACACAUACACACACACACACACACACACACACACACACACACACACACUGUUCAUUUCAUAUUGUACUAAACAGUAAAGUUCAGCAGCUCCUAAAACCCAUGAGUCCUUCAUUCCCUGGUCAGUUACAUAACCUGUUCAUGUCUCACUGUUUCCUGUCUCUUUGGCCAUUGGUCUAAGAAAGUAAGUGCAUAGAGUAGGGAUUUAAAGACAAUUUUUGCUUAGGUUUUUUUUUUUUUUUUUUUAAAGCUUAGUCUUGAUUACAUCUCAUCAAGUAUUAUUUUCACUGAUAGACCAAUGCUUUUUUUUUUUUUUUUUUCCCCAAUGUCUCAUUCGAUAGCCCUGGCUGGCCUGGAAUUCCUGUGUAGACUAGACUGCCCUGGAAUUCUCAGAGGUCUUACUGCCUCUACCUCUCAAGUGCUAAGAUUAAAGGUGUGAACUACCUUGCCUGAUCUAACCCAUUUAUAGAUUGAUUUUGUUUUGUUUUGUUUUGUUUUUGAGACAGGGUUUCUCUGUGUAGCCCUGGCUGUCCUAGGACUCACUGUGUAGACCAGGCUGACCUCGAACUCAGAUAUCUACCUGCCUCUGCCUCCUGAGUGCUGGCAUUAAAGAUGUGUACCACCAUUGCCCUUAAUAUUAUUUGUAAAAGGUUUGUUAUUUUUAUUUUGUGUGUAUGAGUGUUUUGCCUGCAUGUAUGUAUGUAUGUAUGCAUGCCUGGCGCCCUUGGAAGCCAGAAGAGGUUGCCAGAUCCCCUGGAACUGGAGUUAAGUAUGGUUGUAAGCUGCCAUAUGGGUGUUAGGAACUAAACCUGGGUACUGUGUAGGAAUAGCAAAUGCUCUUGACUGCUGAGCCAUCUCUCCAGCCCAUCAAUGCACUUAUUUUUAAAAGUGCCAGGAUAGUAUAGCAAAGAUUGAUAUUUUGGUGUUUUUUUAAAAAUAAUAAAAUCUUGGACUGGGGUUGUGAUUCAGUGUUAGAAUAUUUGCCUAGCAUAUUAAUAUAUAGGCCCUGAGUUUGAUCUCUAGCACUAUGCAAAAACAAACAUCCUUAAAAUGUUAGUCUUGCUCUAGUAGUUUAUAAAAAUUGCCAGUUGCUGGGAGACAUCUGUUUUACCCUUUGUAUCUUUUUUGUUUGUUCAUUUAGUUGAGUGACUGUUGCUGCUUCUUAGGUACCAAACACUACCCCAGUCACAAGUGCACACAGGUAAACAAAAUGGGAUUUGGGUUCAGUAGCUUACAUUUAGCACAACUACUAAUAUGCUAUUUCUGCCAUUUAUUUAUUUUUACAUUUAUUGUGUUCUUUCCCUUACCUGUUUUUUUCUGUCUGUAAUUGGGUAGCUCAGACUUUUUUCAGGUGUCUUCUGUUGCUGAUGACAGUGACACUUGUGGGCUGUGGAGGUGGUGGCUCACUGGGUAAAAGUGAGCGUUGCUAACCCUGAUAGCUACAGUUUUCAUCCUAAGAGUGACAGGAAAGAAAUGGCUCCUGUGAGUUCCAUGUCAGAUUUUGCUUUUUUUUUUGUUUUUGUUUUUGUUUUGUUUUUUUCAAGACAGGGUUUCUCUGUGUAGCCCUGGCUGUCCCGAAACUCACUCUGUAGACCAGGCUGGCCUUGAACUCAGAGAUCUGCCUGCCUCUGUCUCACAAGUGCUGGGAUUAAAGGUGUGUGCCACCAUGCCUAGCCUCUACAUCAGAUUUCUUUUAAAAAAUAUCUUUAAAUAUUACAUAUCCUAAGGUCAAAUAUAGCAGGAGAAUAAGGUUGUCAAGGCUACAUAGUAAAAACCUGGGCCAAGAAUGUAUUUUAGUGGUAGAGUACUUGCCUCACGUGCACACAACAAAAGGCCAUCAUGGGAACAUGGUUCUGCACGCCUUUGAUUCCAGCACUCAGGAGGCAGAGGCAGGCGGAUCUCUGAGUUUGCAAUCAGCCUAAUGAAAUCUUGUCUC